CUGGUGAGGAAAGUAGCCGAAGCCCAGGUAGAGAAGUCCUUGAGGCGAGUCUCUGCUCAGGACUCGCUUGGUCUGGAUGAGCGUUCUGUGGUUUAAUGUGGUUUCAUAUGUACGUUCUGUAAAAUUGUUCAUGUUGAAAACUGAAGGGCCCGGAGUUUAUAUUCUUGAGAGUAUGUUUUAUUUCCCCUUAGAACAUCUGGGGGCAGUGUCCUGAGCUUUCUCACCCUGAGUCUCCUGAAGGGGGGUGACCACAGCUGCUCACUCCUAGAUGGCGGGUGUCCUGUUUCCGUCCUGAGUUCCUUCAGGAGCUAUGAUGUGAUGGCUUGAUGGCUGCACCAUUCUUUGUUUACUGAUGUGGCAGGCAGUAGUUUUCAUUCACAAAGUUGACCGAGGUCUAUGGAAGGUUUUAUUUCUAGUUUUUUAGGAUGGAAGGAAUGGGGAAUUCCCGUCACGGCUCAGCGGUUAACGAACCCGACUGGCAUCCAUGAGGACGCAGCUUUGAUCCCUGGCCUUGCUCAGUGGGUUAAGGAUCCGGUGUUGCCGUGAGCUGUGGUGUAGGUCACAGACGUGGCUCAGAUCCCGCGUUGCUGUGGCUGUGGUGUAGGCCGGGAGCUACAGCUCCCAAUUCAACCCCUAGCCUGGGAACCUCCAUAUGCUGUGGGUGUGACCCUAAAGAGGGGGGGAAAAAAGAAAAAGGCUAGAGGACUGACAGCAUCUUUUUAUGAUGAUGAGAAUGAUCCAGUAAGAAGUAGAAAUUCAUGACAUAGGAGAAGGAGGACAGUGCAAGUACUGGUGAGUAGAGGGAUUGAUAGGAACGUGGUCCCUCCUGCUGGUGCGGAUGGGAAAGUCGAUUUUAUGGAUCUAGAUUUGGGCUAAUAGGUUUUUGUAGCAGGAAUGUGUCGUACUUCUUUUUGCAUUAUUUCUUUUCGCCCCUAAUUGAAUAAAAAGCAGUCAGCAGAUAUAAGGGUAGGAUUUGGGGAAGGAGUGCUGGAAGUUUGGGGAGAAAUUGCCUUGGAGGGAGCGUAUUUCCUAGAUGGCUGUAGUAUGGACUCACUUGAAAUUUAUCAUCGUAAACACACACACCAGCCUAUAUGAUUUUGGAUUUUUUUGGUCACCUCCAGCUGCCCGUGUGUAGUUGCACAAUAGAUGGAAAGUUGGAUUUAAAAGGGUUGGGCUUUCACCAGGACUCUGGUGUCCGGGAGGAAUAGCAAGGUUCCAGCUGGAGGAGCUCUCGUCGUGGCGCAGUGGUUAACGAAUCCGACCAGGAACCCUGAGGUUGCGGGUUUGAUCCCUGGCCUCGCUCCGUGGGUUAAGGAUCCGGCGUUGCCGUGAGCUGUGGUGCAGGUCGCAGAUGUGGCUCAGAUCCUGCGGUGCUGUGGCUGUGGUGUAGGCCGGUAGCUACAGCUCCGAUUGGACCCCUAGCCUGGGAACCUCCAUGUGCCGCAGGAGUGGCCCAAGAAA
rnacentral:lncRNA from 1 species